AUUGAACGCUGGCGGCAUGCCUUACACAUGCAAGUCGAACGGCAGCACGGGAGCAAUCCUGGUGGCGAGUGGCGAACGGGUGAGUAAUAUAUCGGAACGUGCCCGGUCGUGGGGGAUAACGUAGCGAAAGCUACGCUAAUACCGCAUACGAUCUACGGAUGAAAGCGGGGGAUCGCAAGACCUCGCGCGAUUGGAGCGGCCGAUAUCAGAUUAGGUAGUUGGUGAGGUAAAGGCUCACCAAGCCGACGAUCUGUAGCUGGUCUGAGAGGACGACCAGCCACACUGGGACUGAGACACGGCCCAGACUCCUACGGGAGGCAGCAGUGGGGAAUUUUUGGACAAUGGGCGCAAGCCUGAUCCAGCAAUGCCGCGUGCAGGAUGAAGGCCUUGG
rnacentral:rRNA from 1 species